rnacentral:rRNA from 1 species
UGGGGGAAUAUUGGACAAAUGGGCGAAAGCCUGAUCCAGCCAUGCCGCGUGUGUGAAGAAGGUCUUCGGAUUGUAAAGCACUUUAAGUUGGGAGGAAGGGCAGUAAGCUAAUACCUUGCUGUUUUGACGUUACCGACAGAAUAAGCACCGGCUAACUCUGUGCCAG